CCCUUAGAUGUCCUGGGCCGCACGCGCGUUACACUGAUGCAUUCAACGAGCUUAUAACCUUGGCCGAGAGGCCUGGGCAAUCUUGUUAACGUGCAUCGUGAUAGGGAUAGAUUAUUGAAAUUAUUAAUCUUGAACGAGGAAUUCCUAGUAAACGCAGAUCAUCAAUCUGCAUUGAUUACGUCCCUGCCCUUUGUACACACCGCCCGUCGCACCUACCGAUUGGAUGGUCCGGUGAAGCCUCGGGUUUGUGGUUCUUGCCGCUUUAUUGUGGCGUGACCGCGAGAACUUGUCUAAACCUUAUCAUCUAGAGGAAGGUGAAGUCGUAACA
rnacentral:rRNA from 1 species